GAACUCGGCUAGGGUGAAACUAGAAUGAGUCUGCUCUGCCUGUCCUUGGCUCUGGCUUCACCUACUGUUGGUCUCCUUGCCUUUCGCCCUACCACGGACCCAUAGCCUUUACCUGAUGUCCCAGCAUUCCCCGUUUCGCCUAUAACAAUGUUGAAGCUCCAACAUUGGUAAGUGAAAUAUACUCGGAGUCAAGAGUGGAUUUCAUGCUCUUUAUUCAGCUCAUAGUGGUGAGGAGGAACGGAAUGUCUGCCCCAUAUACAUUAUUACACAAUGGGCCCCACAUGAUUGGCUAAUUCUGGGAUUCUCCCAUGGGCCAAUCAGGUUGCGGAUUCACCUCCACCUGGAGCUGGACCGGGUGGACCCUGUGGACCAAUCAGACUGCUGCAUUCUGAAUCCCAUUGUUCUAGGGCCAAUCAGACUGCUGCAUUUUGGAUCCUAUUCAACUCAGUACAUAACAGUAAGGCAAAGGCCACAGAGAUUUGUCCAGUUCAAAUCCAUUCAAUGAAUUGAAUGGCCCCUGAGGACAGAUCGCUCCCACCCUCUGAGGAGGAGAUCCCAAACAUCCGAUGAGGCCUGGGAUGCCCUCCCAGGGACCUGCGAUUGCAGCCCGAAGCUGCUUUCUUUCACGUACAGAAGAGGAUGCAAAACAAAAAUCCCGCCCCCAAAAGAGCAGAGUUCUUGGAAAUGGAGAAAAGGGUGAGAGUGCCAAAGGGAUGAGAGGUGGGAGGAGAGGGAAUGAAGGCUGGAACAGGAAACAAGUUGUUUCCAUUUCUGUGACACGUUGUAAAGAUGAUAAAAUGUUCUCAGCGCUCCUACUGGGCUGUAAGCCACCCUGCCUACUCCUUCUUUGUGAUGAAGUUCAAGUAGACAAUGGUGUCAGCUGCCUGGGCACAGGAUUGGCCCGUAGCUCAGGCAAGACAGUCUCUGCACAGCUUCAGAUUGUGAAACUGCGUGAUGCAAGACUCUGAUUCAGAGCUGCGUGUAACCGCAGCCAGCAAACUUUGCCCUUUCCUGCCUGGAUCGGCUUCACAAGGCAGAAGAGUAAAGGGAAGAUGCAGAUGGCUGAAGAAACAAGACCCCAAAACAGUGGAAAGGGAGGCAGUUUGUAAUUCUGACUGGAGAUGAGCAGCCACACUCCAGGAGAUUUACAGAAGGGAGAGUGACAGCUGGGGAAAGCUUGUUGUUGUUUUUUCGCUCCUGUGCAAGGAGCUAUUUAGACAUUAGAGAUGUGCAUUGACUUCAAACAAAUCCCAAAUCCAGAGCCAAAGUGUCACAUUUCAGAAGGAAUUUGGACAAAUCUCAACUGAAGCAGGUACCUUCUGAAUCAACCUAAGCCAAACUGGGCUGUUUCACAGAGAUUUGGUACCAAUACAGAUGGACAAAGGCACUUAGUGAGUAUCUAAAAACAGAUACUUUUUACCCCAAGCUCUCCAUAGAAAGGAAAUGAGGGGAAGCAGGGCUUAGUUCUGUGACUGACAGGUCUAGCUGCCAACCAAGGAAUAGCUUUGCCAAGGCUCUCCUUUUUUCUUCCCGUCAGUUCUUUUGGGAGGGAUGUAGAAGGAACUUGUCAGAUUAUCUCAGUGAUUGGGCUGAGAUUCACUAGUUGCGGUUAUAUCUUGACAGUGCCUGAGAUCAAGUUUUUAAAGAGCUAGACAAGAUUCCUAAGGCUGUCCUUGGUCCAGAGAUAUAUUCACACCGAA